UACGUAGGGGGCGAGCGUUGUCCGGAUUUAUUGGGCGUAAAGAGCUCGUAGACGGUUCGAUAAGUCGGACGUGAAAUCUCCACGCUCAACGUGGAGGGGCCGUUCGAUACUGUCGUGACUCGAGUCCGGUAGGGGAGUGUGGAAUUCCCGGUGUAGCGGUGAAAUGCGCAGAGAUCGGGAGGAACACCCGUAGCGAAGGCGGCACUCUGGGCCGGUACUGACGCUGAGGAGCGAAAGCGUGGGGAGCAAACAGG
rnacentral:rRNA from 1 species